AUGGACCCGAGUGAUGGAGGCCCAGAUGAGUUGCCACCACCACCUCCUCUGCCUCCCGACGUGGUGCCCAUCAAAGAACUGCCUCCAAACAAGCCAGCAAAGCCCAAAAGGCUCCCAAUGGCCAGGCCUGGGCUAGGGAAGAGAGGGCACACCAUCCAACUACUUGCUAACCACUAUAAAGUCUCCCUGAAGGGUUCAGAGGAAUUUUUCCACCACUACCAUGUUAAUCUGAAGUAUGAGGAUGAUCAACCUGUUGUUGAAAAGGGGAUAGGGAGAAAGGUGCAGGAUAAACUGGUGCAAAUGUACCAUUCCGAUCUUGCCAACAAGGACUUUGCAUAUGAUGGUGAGAAGAGCCUCUUUACAAUUGGGGCUCUUCCCCAAGUACACAAUGAAUUCACUGUAGUAUUGGAAGACAUUGGAAGUGGAAAGAGCUCUGGAGGUAAUAGUGGCAACAGUCCUGAAGGUAGUGACACGAAGAGAGUGAGGAGGCCGUACCAGUCAAAGAUUAUAAAAGUGGAGCUGAGCUUUGCGGCGAAAAUGCCUAUGGCCGCAAUCGCGCAGGCCAUUAGAGGUGAAGAAUCAGAGAACUCCCUGGAGGCUAUUCGAGUUCUUGAUAUCAUACUGCGGCAGCAUUCUGCAAAGCAGGGCUGUCUUCUAGUCCGCCAAUCAUGUUUCCACAAUAAUCCUAAAAGUUUCAUUGACUUGGGCGGUGGUUUGUCGGGAUGCCAAGGAUUUCACUCAAGUUUCCGUGGUACACAAAGUGGGCUCUCCCUAAAUAUUGAUGUUUCGACUACCAUGCUUGUUAAACCUGGUCCUGUUAUCGAUUUUCUUCUUGCUAACCAGAUGGUUCGUCGCCCUGAUGAAAUUAACUGGCAAAAGGCCAAGCGUACCCUCAAGAGCUUGAGGAUAAAAACCACUCACACAAAUUCAGAGUUUAAGAUAGUUGGUUUAACUGAGAAAAAUUGCAACGAACAAACGUUUCCAUUGAGGCGGAGGAACGGUGACAACGGAGACACUGAUACUGUUGAAAUGACAGUCUAUGAUUACUUUGUACAGAACAGAGGCAUAGAACUGCGCUAUUCUGGUAAUCUCCCAUGUAUCAAUGCUGGGAGGCCAAAGCGUCCAACUUACUUCCCUGUCGAGCUUUGCACGCUUGUUCCUCUGCAAAGAUACACCAAAGCUCUGUCUACUCUUCAGAGGUCCUCACUUGUCGAGAAAUCCAGACAAAAGCCUCAUCAAAGAAUGUCAACUCUUGAUGAUGCACUUAAACGUAGCGACUAUGACUCUGACCCCAUGCUGAAGGCAUGUGGCAUUACAAUUGCCCGAAACCUUACUCAAAUUGAAGGGAGGAUCCUGCAAGCACCCAAGCUGAAAGCCGGUAAUGAUGAAGAAUUCGUCCCACAAAAGGGUCGUUGGAACCUUGCGAGAAAGAAGCUGAUCCAGACCUGUUCUGUUACGAGGUGGGCAGUUGUCAAUUUCUCUGCAUGUUGUGAUGCUCGUGGUAUUGUCCGAGACCUUACAAGGAUUGCAAUUGCAAUGGGGAUUGAAAUAGAGGACCCUCAUGGUGAUGCAAUUGAAGAAAGCCCAGCAGUAAGACGAGCUCCUGCGUCAUGAAGAGUGGAUGAGAUGUUUGCUCAGUUAAAAUCCAAGCUACCUGGACAACCCAAGUUCCUGUUGUGCCUUCUUCCUGCGAGGAAAAACUGCGAAAUUUAUGGCCCUUGGAAGAGGAAGUGUCUUGCCGAACUUGGCAUCUUCACACAAUGUCUAGCUCCUCCACCAAGAGUCAACGAUCAGUACCUAAUUAAUGUGCUAUUGAAGAUAAAUGCUAAGCUUGAUGGGCUAAACACACUGCUACAAGGUGAGCUACCCCCUGCACCUGCAGUAUUACCCAUUGUGGGGAAGCUGCCUACUAUUAUCUUGGGCAUGGAUGUGUCACAUGGUCAGCCUGGCUCUGAUAGACCUUCCAUUGCUGCGGUGGUUAAUUCUCGCAAGUGGCCUCUCAUCUCUAAAUAUAGAACAACAGUGCACACUCUGUCACCCAAACUAGAAACAAUGUCUUCCUUGUUUAAACCACGGGGAAAGGAAGAUGAUGGCCUCAUUCGGGAAUCACUUAUCGACUUCUACAAUAGUACUGGGAAUCGAAAACCAGAUCAAGUUAUUAUUUUCAGAUGUGAUGUACAAGUAUUAUCCGGUAUUGGACAGUGUCACUCCAUCUACUUUUAAUCAAUGCAGGCCUGUAAGUUCCUUGAUGAGAAGUGGGAGCCUAAGUUCACAGUAAUUGUUGCUCAGAAAAACCAUCAUACCAGAUUUUUCCAGACUGGAUGUCCGGAUAAUGUUCCUCCUGGGACCGUCGUGGAUAAAGAGGUCUGCCAUCCCAAGAAUUUCGACUUCUACAUGUGUGCCCAUGCUGGGAUGAUAGGCACGUCGAGGCCAACACAUUACCAUGUUCUGCAUGAUGAGAUCGGCUUCACAGCGGAUGAGCUUCAGGAAUUUGUGCAUUCGCUUUCAUACGUGUACCAGAGGAGCACAACAGCGAUAUCAGUCAUUGCUCGGAUCAUGUACGCACAUCUGGCGGCGGCCCAGGUAGGCACGUUCGUGAGGUUUGAAGACAUGUCGGAUGCGUCCUCGAGCCAGGGAGGGGGGCACACAUCGGCGGGCAGCAUUCCGGUGCCGGAGCUUCCUCGGCUGCACAAGAAUGUGAGGAGCUCCAUGUUCUUCUGCUGA
rnacentral:rRNA from 1 species